rnacentral:rRNA from 1 species
UACAGAGGGUGCAAGCGUUAAUCGGAAUUACUGAGCGUAAAGCGUGCGUAGUCGGUUAUUUAAGUCGGAUGUGAAAUCCCCGGGCUCAACCUGGGAAUUGCAUUCGAUACUGGGUAGCUAGAGUUCGGCAGAGGGAAGCGGAAUUUCGGGUGUAGCGGUGAAAUGCGUAGAUAUCCGAAGGAACAUCAGUGGCGAAAGCGGCUUCCUGGACCAGAACUGACGAUCAGGCACGAAAGCGUGGGGAGCAAACAGG